GUAAAAUAAGAGACAAAGCAAGAAGAUCAUUCUAUGCCAUUAAAAUAAACAUUAAUAUUCACCAGUUUGGGCUGGCUAGUGGCAUCAGUGCUAUUUGUGUGUGUGUGUGUGUGUGUGUGUGUGUGUGUGUUUUGGCGAAUGGUAGGGGGCCAGCUGAACAGCAGUGGGGGUCCAGAUCUUUCAGAGCGCAGGGCCUCAAUGGACAGAGAGGAAAAAGGAGUGUGUGUGAGAACAGGGAGAGGGGUCUCUGCCAUUGUCUGCUGGUCUCUGGUUGCCAGGUCCUGCCAGGUCCUCUCCACCACAGCUCUGAAGCUGCUUUGUGUCUCUGCUGGUCUCUGGUUGCCAGGUCCUGCCAGGUCCUCUCCACCACAGCUCUGAAGCUGCUUUGUGUCUCUGCUGGUCUCUGGUUGCCAGGUCCUGCCAGGUCCUCUUCACCACAGCUCUAAAGCUGCUUUGUGUCUCUGCUGGUCUCUGGUUGCCAGGUCCUGCCAGGUCCUCUCCACCACAGCUCUGAAGUUGCUUUGUGUCUCUGCUGGUCUCUGGUUGCCAGGUCCUGCCAGGUCCUCUCCACCACAGCUCUGAAGCUGCUGUGUGUCUCUGCUGGUCUCUGGUUGCCAGGUCCUGCCAGGUCCUCUUCACCACAGCUCUGAAGCUGCUGUGUGUCUCUGCUGGUCUCUGGUUGCCAGGUCCUGCCAGAUCCUCUCCACCACAGCUCUGAAGCUGCUUUGUGUCUCUGCUGGUCUCUGGUUGCCAGGUCCUGCCAGGUCCUCUCCACCACAGCUCUGAAGCUGCUGUGUGUCUCUGCUGGUCUCUGGUUGCCAGGUCCUGCCAGGUCCUCUCCACCACAGCUCUGAAGCUGCUGUGUGUCUCUGCUGGUCUCUGGUUGCCAGGUCCUGCCAGGUCCUCUCCACCACAGCUCUGAAGCUGCUUUGUGUCUCUGCUGGUCUCUGGUCCCAUAAAAAAACAGUCAGUUCUUACUAAAAUCUUCAUUUUAAAACUUUUUUUUUUUUUAUCAGAAACUAAAUAUUAAUCUGAAAAGGGCAUUCAUCAGCACAGGAACUAAAUACAUCUCUGAAACAGGCAUUCAUCAGCACAGGAACUAAAGACACAUUUCUGAAACAGGCAUUCAUCAGCACAGGAACUAAAUACACAUAUCUGAAACAGGCAUUCAUCAGCACAGGAACUAAAGACACAUCUCUGAAACAGACAUUGAUCAGCACAGGAACUAAAGACACAUAUCUGAAACAGGCAUUCAUCAGCACAGGAACUAAAUACAUUUCUGAAACAGGCAUUCAUCAGCACAGGAACUAAAGACACAUCUCUGAAACAGGCAUUCAUCAGCACAGGAACUAAAGACACAUUUCUGAAACAGACAUUGAUCAGCACAGGAACUAAAGACACAUCUCUGAAACAGGCAUUCAUCAGCACAGGAA